rnacentral:rRNA from 1 species
CCUUACCAGGUCUUGACAUCCUCUGACAAUCCUAGAGAUAGGACGUCCCCUUCGGGGGCAGAGUGACAGGUGGUGCAUGGUUGUCGUCAGCUCGUGUCGUGAGAUGUUGGGUUAAGUCCCGCAACGAGCGCAACCCUUGAUCUUAGUUGCCAGCAUUCAGUUGGGCACUCUAAGGUGACUGCCGGUGACAAACCGGAGGAAGGUGGGGAUGACGUCAAAUCAUCAUGCCCCUUAUGACCUGGGCUACACACGUGCUACAAUGGACAGAACAAAGGGCAGCGAAACCGCGAGGUUAAGCCAAUCCCACAAAUCUGUUCUCAGUUCGGAUCGCAGUCUGCAACUCGACUGCGUGAAGCUGGAAUCGCUAGUAAUCGCGGAUCAGCAUGCCGCGGUGAAUACGUUCCCGGGCCUUGUACACACCGCCCGUCACACCACGAGAGUUUGUAAC